UUUCAACACCGCAUCCCUAUGGAGCAAGUUCGUGGGCUGCAGAUUGCAGGAGAUGUUUCCAUCCAGAUGAUUAAUUUUAUUGGGGGUGGAAUGGGAGGAGGAAUGGGAGGAGGAUAUCCAGGAGGUGGCAUG